UACGAAGGGGGCUAGCGUUGCUCGGAAUCACUGGGCGUAAAGGGUGCGUAGGCGGGUCUUUAAGUCAGGGGUGAAAUCCUGGAGCUCAACUCCAGAACUGCCUUUGAUACUGAAGAUCUUGAGUUCGGGAGAGGUGAGUGGAACUGGCGAGUGUAGAGGUGAAAUUCGUAGAUAUUCGCAAGAACACCAGUGGCGAAGGCGGCUCACUGGCCCGGUACUGACGCUGAGGUGCGAAAGCGUGGGGAGCAAACAGGGAUUAAG
rnacentral:rRNA from 1 species